rnacentral:rRNA from 1 species
GAUGAACGCUAGCGAUAGGCUUAACACAUGCAAGUCGAGGGGUAACAUGGAGAGAAGCUUGCUUCACUCUGAUGACGACCGGCGGAUGGGUGAGUAACGCGUAUGCAACUUGCCUCUUAGUGGGGGAUAACCCGGAGAAAUCCGGACUAAUACCGCAUAUUCUUAAUUUCUCGCAUGAGUUAUUAAGGAAAGAUUUAUUGCUAAGAGAUAGGCAUGCGUUCCAUUAGUUAGUUGGUGAGGUAACGGCUCACCAAGGCAUCGAUGGAUAGGGGAGCUGAGAGGCUGAUCCCCCACAUUGGGACUGAGACACGGCCCAAACUCCUACGGGAGGCAGCAGUGAGGAAUAUUGGUCAAUGGAGGAAACUCUGAACCAGCCAAGUCGCGUGAAGGAUGACGGUCCUAUGGAUUGUAAACUUCUUUAGUAGGUGAGUAAGGAUAGGUACGUGUACCUAUUAGAAAGUAGCCUAAGAAUAAGUAUCGGCUAACUCCGUGCCAGCAGCCGCGGUAAUACGGAGGAUACGAGCGUUAUCCGGAUUUAUUGGGUUUAAAGGGUGCGUAGGUGGCUGAUUAAGUCAGUGGUGAAAAGCUAUGGCUCAACCAUAGUCUUGCCGUUGAUACUGGUUAGCUUGAGUGUAGAUGAUGUAGGCGGAAUGCGUAGUGUAGCGGUGAAAUGCAUAGAUAUUACGCAGAACUCCGAUUGCGAAGGCAGCUUACAAAACUACUACUGACACUGAGGCACGAAAGCGUGGGUAUCAAACAGGAUUAGAUACCCUGGUAGUCCACGCCGUAAACUAUGAUUACUCAGAGUAUGCGAUAUACAGUAUGCUCUCAAGCGAAAGCAUUAAGUAAUCCACCUGGGGAGUACGUCGGCAACGAUGAAACUCAAAGGAAUUGACGGGGGCCCGCACAAGCGGCGGAGCAUGCGGAUUAAUUCGAUGCAACGCGAAGAACCUUACCAAGGCUUGACAUGCACCCUGACGCUGCAGAGAUGUGGUGGCAUUUGGUUGGGGGUGUGCAGGUGGUGCAUGGUUGUCGUCAGCUCGUGUCGUGAGAUGUUGGGUUAAGUCCCGCAACGAGCGCAACCCUUGCCCUAUGUUGCCAGCACGUUAUGGUGGGGACUCGUGGGGGACUGCCGGGGUUAACUCGGAGGAAGGGGGGGAUGACGUCAAAUCAUCAUGCCCCUUAUGUCUUGGGCUUCACGCAUGCUACAAUGGUUGGUACAGAGUGUUGCGAUAUCGUAAGGUGGAGCGAAUCACUUAAAGCCAGUCUCAGUUCGGAUUGGGGUCUGCAACUCGACCCCAUGAAGGUGGAGUCGCUAGUAAUCGCAGAUCAGCAACGCUGCGGUGAAUACGUUCUCGGGCCU